rnacentral:rRNA from 1 species
GACGAACGCUGGCGGCGUGCUUUAGGCAUGCAAGUCGAACGCGAAAGCCCUUUCUGGGGUGAGUAGUGUGGCGACCGGGUGAGUAACACGUGGGUAACCUGCCCCUCUCAGGUGGAUAACCGCGUGAAACCCCUGCUAAUACCCCGUACGCUUGCUGGGUCGCAUGCUCCGGCAGGGAAAGGUAGCUUCGGCCAUCCGGCGAGGGAGGGGCUCGGGGCCCAUUAGCUGGUUGGUGGGGUAACGGCCCACUAGGGGGACGGUGGGUCGCUGGCCUGGGAGGGUGGUCAGGCACAGUGGGAGUGAGAGACGGCACAGAGUCCGACGGGAGGCAGCAGCCAGGAAUGGUGCGCAAAGGGCGGAAGACUGAAGCAGCGACGGAGCGUGGGUGAUGAAAGGCCUCGGGUCGGAAAGCGCUGUUGGGGGGGACGAAGGGCGAAGGGUGAAUAGAACCUAGAGUGACGGUAACGGAUGAGGAAGCCCCGGCUAACUACGUG